rnacentral:rRNA from 1 species
CUGGCGGCAGCCUACACAUGCAAGUCGAACGAGACCUUCGGGUCUAGUGGCGCACGGGUGCGUAACGCGUGGGAACCUGCCCUUAGGUUCGGAAUAACUCCCCGAAAGGGGUGCUAAUACCGGAUAAUGUCUUCGGACCAAAGAUUUAUCGCCUUUGGAUGGGCCCGCGUUGGAUUAGCUAGUUGGUGAGGUAAAGGCUCACCAAGGCGACGAUCCAUAGCUGGUCUGAGAGGAUGAUCAGCCACACUGGGACUGAGACACGGCCCAGACUCCUACGGGAGGCAGCAGUGGGGAAUAUUGGACAAUGGGCGAAAGCCUGAUCCAGCAAUGCCGCGUGAGUGAUGAAGGCCUUAGGGUUGUAAAGCUCUUUUACCCGGGAUGAUAAUGACAGUACCGGGAGAAUAAGCUCCGGCUAACUCCGUGCCAGCAGCCGCGGUAAU